rnacentral:lncRNA from 1 species
GGAUUGGGAUAUUCCGACUCCUUAAGGGCCUGGCGCACAUAAGGUGUGACCUUUUCAUUCCCGUUGUUAUGGAGGUUGCAAAUUCGUGAAGAAUCAGCAUCAUGUUUGGCAGCUGAGUAUUGGAGCCAGGAGCCUGCCAUGAGGUUUUGAGAACAGAGUGCUGUUUUAGAGCUGGCAGCAGCAUCUCAGCCCAAGAGAAGGCAUGACUCCACAGUUUCUGCAACAACAGAGCCGGGGAAAGGAGGACGCAGCAAGCGCUGAAUAUUAACCAGCAAAGGUAGAUGCUUCAAUAUCGAAACCACCGGGACCCGCAUGUGCAAAGCUACUUAAUGAGGGUGUAAUCAAACACAGUCUACCAGAAGGAAAUUAAUUAGAGUCCGGAGAGCAAGCAGGAAGCAGAACCAGGCUGCUCCCCCUCCUGGCUCUAGAACAUCACUGGCAGCCACUGCUAAGGGAGGGACAAGGCUGGGGGAUGCCAGGCCUCAGCUGGGUGCCAGGGCUCCUGUCCUCUUCCCCGUGACAUUCCGGCUUGCCUUUGGGGGACACC